UAGCUUGCUACCUGACCUAGCGGCGGACGGGUGAGUAAUGCUUAGGAAUCUGCCUAUUAGUGGGGGACAACAUUCCGAAAGGAAUGCUAAUACCGCAUACGCCCUACGGGGGAAAGCAGGGGAUCCUCGGACCUUGCGCUAAUAGAUGAGCCUAAGUCAGAUUAGCUAGUUGGUGGGGUAAAGGCCUACCAAGGCGACGAUCUGUAGCGGGUCUGAGAGGAUGAUCCGCCACACUGGGACUGAGACACGGCCCAGACUCCUACGGGAGGCAGCAGUGGGGAAUAUUGGACAAUGGGCGAAAGCCUGAUCCAGCCAUGCCGCGUGUGUGAAGAAGGCCUUUUGGUUGUAAAGCACUUUAAGCGAGGAGGAGGCUACUUAGAUUAAUACUCUAGGAUAGUGGACGUUACUCGCAGAAUAAGCACCGGCUAACUCUGUGCCAGCAGCCGCGGUAAUACAGAGGGUGCGAGCGUUAAUCGGAUUUACUGGGCGUAAAGCGUGCGUAGGCGGCUUCUUAAGUCGGAUGUGAAAUCCCUGAGCUUAACUUAGGAAUUGCAUUCGAUACUGGGAAGCUAGAGUAUGGGAGAGGAUGGUAGAAUUCCAGGUGUAGCGGUGAAAUGCGUAGAGAUCUGGAGGAAUACCGAUGGCGAAGGCAGCCAUCUGGCCUAAUACUGACGCUGAGGUACGAAAGCAUGGGGAGCAAACAGGAUUAGAUACCCUGGUAGUCCAUGCCGUAAACGAUGUCUACUAGCCGUUGGGGCCUUUGAGGCUUUAGUGGCGCAGCUAACGCGAUAAGUAGACCGCCUGGGGAGUACGGUCGCAAGACUAAAACUCAAAUGAAUUGACGGGGGCCCGCACAAGCGGUGGAGCAUGUGGUUUAAUUCGAUGCAACGCGAAGAACCUUACCUGGUCUUGACAUAGUAAGAACUUUCCAGAGAUGGAUUGGUGCCUUCGGGAACUUACAUACAGGUGCUGCAUGGCUGUCGUCAGCUCGUGUCGUGAGAUGUUGGGUUAAGUCCCGCAACGAGCGCAACCCUUUUCCUUAUUUGCCAGCGGGUUAAGCCGGGAACUUUAAGGAUACUGCCAGUGACAAACUGGAGGAAGGCGGGGACGACGUCAAGUCAUCAUGGCCCUUACGACCAGGGCUACACACGUGCUACAAUGGUCGGUACAAAGGGUUGCUACCUAGCGAUAGGAUGCUAAUCUCAAAAAGCCGAUCGUAGUCCGGAUUGGAGUCUGCAACUCGACUCCAUGAAGUCG
rnacentral:rRNA from 1 species